rnacentral:misc_RNA from 1 species
AAUACGCACAAGGAGCCCACAGUAAAAUGAAAAAAGAAUAUGUGUCAGAAAAGCAGCAACACAAUUCAAAGCUGAUAAGAGCAAUUACGUAUCACUCUAUGGUUGGACAGCUACCGCGCACUGCACAACCAGACAAGGACAGCUUGAUUGCCAGAUUUAUUAAUAGUAUGUUUAAGUUCGCAAUUUUAUUAUUAAAAUAUUAUUUUAUUUUGAUUUUCGGAAAAGUAUUGGGAAGCACAUGUGUAUCUGGCUGGUGACGUGGCCACAAGAGA